GAUGAACGCUGGCGGCGUGCCUAAUACAUGCAAGUCGCGCGAAGCGGGGACGGGUGCGUAACACGUGGAUAACCUCCUAUAAGACUGGGAUCACUUCGGGAAACCGGAGCUAAACCGGCUGUUUUUUGUUCGAUCCGCGCUGUAUUAGCUAGUUGGUAAGUUAACGGUUUACCAAGGCAACGAUGCAUAGCCGACCUGAGAGGGUGAUCGGCCACACGGGAACUGAGACACGGUCCAGACUCCUAGGGGAGGCAGCAGUAGGGAAUCUUCCGCAAUGGGCGAAAGCCUGACGGAGCAACGCCGCGUGAGUGAUGAAGGUCUUCGGAUCGUAAAACUCUGUUAUUAGGGAAGCGGUACCUAAUCAGAAAGCCACGGCUAACUACGUGCCAGCAGCCGCGGUAAUUC
rnacentral:rRNA from 1 species